rnacentral:rRNA from 1 species
UACAGAGGUGGCAAGCGUUGUUCGGAAUUACUGGGCGUAAAGGGCGAGUAGGUGGCCAUCUAAGUCAGACGUGAAAUCCCCCGGCUUAACCUGGGAACUGCGUCUGAUACUGGACGGCUUGAGUAUGGGAGAGGAACGUAGAAUUCCAGGUGUAGCGGUGAAAUGCGUAGAUAUCUGGAGGAACUCCGGUGGCGAAGGCGGCAUCCUGGACCAACACUGACGCUGAGUGAGCGAAAGCCAGGGGAGCAAACGGG